GGAAUUGUUCGCAAUGGGCGCAAGCCUGACGACGCAACGCCGCGUGGAGGACGAAGACCUUCGGGUCGUAAACUCCUUUCGAUCGGGAAGAACGGCUUCCGGGUGAACAAUCCGGAAGAGUGACGGUACCGAGCGAAGAAGCCCCGGCUGACUCUGUGCCAGCAGCCGCGGUAAUACAGGGGGGGCAAGCGUUGUUCGGAAUUACUGGGCGUAAAGGGCUCGUAGGCGGCCAACUAAGUCGCACGUGAAAUCCCCAGGCUUAACCUGGGAACUGCGUGUGAUACUGGACGGCUUGAAUUCGGGAGAGGGAUGCAGAAUUCCAGGUGUAGCGGUGAAAUGCGUAGAUAUUCGGAAGAACACCAGUGGCGAAGGCGACUCACUGGACACAUAUUGACGCUGAGGUGCGAAAGCGUGGGGAGCAAAC
rnacentral:rRNA from 1 species